rnacentral:rRNA from 1 species
AUUGAACGCUGGCGGCAGGCCUAACACAUGCAAGUCGAGCGAGCGGCGGACGGGUGAGUAAUGUAUGGGGACUGCCCGAUAGAGGGGGAUAACUACUGGAAACGGUAGCUAAUACCGCAUACUAUCGGAUAACCCAUAUGGGAUUAGCUAGUAGGUGAGGUAAUGGCUAACCUAGGCGACGACCCCUAGCUGGUCUGAGAGGAUGAUCAGCCACGCCGGGACUGAAACGAGGGCCAGCCUCCUACGGAGGCAGCGGGGGGGAAUAUUGCACAAUGGGCGCAAGCCUGAUGCAGCCAUGCCGCGUGUAUGAAGAAGGCCCUAGGGUUGUAAAGUACUUUCAGUCGGGAGGCGUUACCGACAGAAGAAGCACCGGCUAACUCCGUGCCAGCAGCCGCGGUAAUUC